UACGAGAGGCCCAAACGUUAUUCGGAAUUACUGGGCUUAAAGAGUUCGUAGGCGGCGCAACAAGUGGGGUGUGAAAGCCCUCGGCUCAACCGAGGAAUUGCGCUCCAAACUGUUGUGCUUGAGGGACCUAGAGGUGAGCGGAACUGAUGGUGGAGCGGUGAAAUGCGUUGAUAUCAUCAGGAACACCGGAGGCGAAGGCGGCUCACUGGGGGUCUUCUGACGCUGAGGAACGAAAGCCAGGGGAGCGAACGGG
rnacentral:rRNA from 2 species